AAGACUAUAGACCUGCGGAGUACCUGCGGAAGGAUCAUUAUCGAGUUAGGGUCUAUUCAGGCCCGACCUCCCAACCCUAUGUUUAUUGAACCUAUGUUGCUUCGGCGGGCCCGUCUCACGACCGCCGGGGGACCGUAAGACGUCCUCUGGCCCGCGCCCGUCGGUGACCAAACUUAAACUCUGAUUGAAUCGUGUCACUGUCUGAGUACCAUUUUUAAUUAAAACAAAAACUUUUAACAA
rnacentral:misc_RNA from 1 species